rnacentral:rRNA from 1 species
AGCUGGUUCUCCCCGAAAUAACUUUAGGGCUAGCCUUCCAGGAUAAGCGUAAUGGAGGUAGAGUACUAAAUGGGCAAGGAGGCCUACCAGGUCUUCGAAUCCAAUUAAACUCCGAAUACCAUUAUUGUUGCUGGAGGAGUCAGACUGUGGGGGAUAAGCUCCAUGGUCGAAAGGGAAACAGCCCAGACCAUUAGCUAAGGUCCUUAAAUAUGAACUAAGUGGUAAAGGAAGUAGAGUCACUCAGACAAUCAGGAUGUUGGCUCAGAAGCAGCCAUCAUUUAAAGAAAGCGUAACAGCUCACUGAUCGAUUUGAGGUCUCUAAAAAUCGUAAGAUUUGCAGAGACUUUUGUGAUUCUGCGCCGACAAUGUAACGGGGCUCAAGUUCAUUACCGAAGCUGUGGCCCUGAACCGUUUCUGGUUCAGGGGGUAGGGGAGCAUUCCCUAAGCGAGUGAAGCCUGACCGUAAGGACAGGUGGACGUAUGGGAAGAGAGUAUGCCGGUAUAAGUAACGAAAAAAUCUGUGAAAAACAGAUUCGCCGAAAGUCUAAGGUUUCCUGGGGAAGGUUAAUCCGCCCAGGGUUAGUCGGUUGCUAAGUCGAGGCUGAAAAGCGUAGAUGAUGCACAAUCCGUUAAUAUUCGGAUACUAUUUGAAAACCGUUUUGAGCGAAGGGGGGACACAGAAGGAUAGGUCAGCCACAUAUUGGAUAUUGUGGUUUAAGCCCGUAGGUUGGAGAAUGAGAUAAAUCCUUGUUUUCCGUUUAAAACCGAGAGGCGAAUAGGAGCUCAAUCUUCGGAGCGAGCGAACUGAUUGAUUCCACGCUGUCAAGAAAAACCUCUAAGCAAGGUUUUCAGGUAACCGUACCGCAAACCGACACAGGUAGACAAGCAGAAUAUGCUAAGGCGCUCGAGAUAACUCUCGUUAAGGAACUCGGCAAAUUGACCCCGUAACUUCGGAAUAAGGGGUGCCCUGUUAGUGUGAGGCGUUUUUACAAUUUCUCGCACGAGAGGGUUGCAAAAAAAUGGCUCCUA